rnacentral:misc_RNA from 1 species
CAUUAGUAGGAUGCAGACUUCUCACUUCAAGAGCUCUGCAGUUGAACAAAGAAGAAACCCCAGUUGCAGUUACUUCUCCGCAAUCCUCAAGAUGGAUUGAAAUCAAGCCCGGCCAUCCCUGUGAAAUGAGGCUCAGAGAAUCUGAAGUGAGAAGUCUGCAUCCUACUAAUGNNAGAAUUCAACCAAGCUUGCACAAUUCUGAGUAAGAACAACCAAAUCAUUAUCGGUCAUCUGAGGAGUUACCCUCUCAAGCCUCAAUUUCCUUAGAUUUGUGACAGAGUUUUUGAAGCUUGAUGUGGAUAUAUCACCAAGGCAGUAGCAUAGAGCCAGUGCCUGCAAG